rnacentral:pre_miRNA from 1 species
CAAAUACUCCCUCCGUUCCGAAUUACUUGUCUUAGAUUUGUCUAGAUACGGAUGUAUCUAGCACUAAAAUAAGUCUAGAUACAUCCGUAUCUAGACAAAUCCAAGACAAGUAAUUCGGAACGGAGGGAGUACAUG